UGGGGAAUAUUGGACAAUGGGCGCAAGCCUGAUCCAGCCAUGCCGCGUGAGUGAUGAAGGCCCUAGGGUUGUAAAGCUCUUUUGUGCGGGAAGAUAAUGACGGUACCGCAAGAAUAAGCCCCGGCUAACUUCGUGCCAGCAGCCGCGGUAAUACGAAGGGGGCUAGCGUUGCUCGGAAUCACUGGGCGUAAAGGGUGCGUAGGCGGGUCUUUAAGUCAGGGGUGAAAUCCUGGAGCUCAACUCCAGAACUGCCUUUGAUACUGAGGAUCUUGAGUUCGGGAGAGGUGAGUGGAACUGCGAGUGUAGAGGGUGAAAUUCGUAGAUAUUCGCAAGAACACCAGUGGCGAAGGCGGCUCACUGGCCCGAUACUGACGCUGAGGCACGAAAGCGUGGGGAGCAAACAGGAUUAGAUACCCUGGUAGUCCACG
rnacentral:rRNA from 1 species